AUUGAACGCUGGCGGCAGGCCUAACACAUGCAAGUCGAGCGGAUGAAGGGAGCUUGCUCCUGGAUUCAGCGGCGGACGGGUGAGUAAUGCCUAGGAAUCUGCCUGGUAGUGGGGGAUAACGUCCGGAAACGGGCGCUAAUACCGCAUACGUCCUGAGGGAGAAAGUGGGGGAUCUUCGGACCUCACGCUAUCAGAUGAGCCUAGGUCGGAUUAGCUAGUUGGUGGGGUAAAGGCCUACCAAGGCGACGAUCCGUAACUGGUCUGAGAGGAUGAUCAGUCACACUGGAACUGAGACACGGUCCAGACUCCUAAGGGAGGCAGCAGUGGGGAAUAUUGGACAAUGGGCGGAGGCCUGAUCCAGCCAUGCCGCGUGUGUGAAGAAGGUCUUCGGAUUGUAAAGCACUUUAAGUUGGGAGGAAGGGCAGUAAGUUAAUACCUUGCUGUUUUGACGUUACCAACAGAAUAAGCACCGGCUAACUUCGUG
rnacentral:rRNA from 1 species